rnacentral:rRNA from 1 species
UACGUAGGUGGCAAGCGUUGUCCGGAUUUAUUGGGCGUAAAGCGCGCGCAGGCGGUCUUUUAAGUCUGAUGUGAAAUCUUGCGGCUCAACCGCAAGCGGCCAUUGGAAACUGGGAGACUUGAGUGCAGAAGAGGAGAGUGGAAUUCCACGUGUAGCGGUGAAAUGCGUAGAGAUGUGGAGGAACACCAGUGGCGAAGGCGACUCUCUGGUCUGUAACUGACGCUGAGGCGCGAAAGCGUGGGGAGCAAACA